rnacentral:rRNA from 1 species
GAUGAACGCUGGCGGCGUGCCUAAUACAUGCCAGUCGAGCGAACAGAUGAGGAGCUUGCUCCUCUGACGUUAGCGGCGGACGGGUGAGUAACACGUGGAUAACCUACCUAUAAGACUGGGAUAACUUCGGGAAACCGGAGCUAAUACCGGAUAAUAUAUUGAACCGCAUGGUUCAAUAGUGAAAGACGGUUUUGCUGUCACUUAUAGAUGGAUCCGCGCCGCAUUAGCUAGUUGGUAAGGUAACGGCUUACCAAGGCAACGAUGCGUAGCCGACCUGAGAGGGUGAUCGGCCACACUGGAACUGAGACACGGUCCAGACUCCUACGGGAGGCAGCAGUAGGGAAUCUUGCGCAAUGGGCGAAAGCCUGACGGAGCAACGCCGCGUGAGUGAUGAAGGUCUUCGGAUCGUAAAACUCUGUUAUUAGGGAAGAACAAAUGUGUAAGUAACUAUGCACGUCUUGACGGUACCUAAUCAGAAAGCCACGGCUAACUACGUG